GACCCGUGAUCCGGGUUGCGGACAGUGUCUGGUAGGUAGUUUGACUGGGGCGGUCUCCUCCUAAAGAGUAACGGAGGAGCACGAAGGUUGGCUAAUCCUGGUCGGACAUCAGGAGGUUAGUGCAAUGGCAUAAGCCAGCUUGACUGCGAGCGUGACGGCGCGAGCAGGUGCGAAAGCAGGUCAUAGUGAUCCGGUGGUUCUGAAUGGAAGGGCCAUCGCUCAACGGAUAAAAGGUACUCCGGGGAUAACAGGCUGAUACCGCCCAAGAGUUCAUAUCGACGGCGGUGUUUGGCACCUCGAUGUCGGCUCAUCACAUCCUGGGGCUGAAGUAGGUCCCAAGGGUAUGGCUGUUCGCCAUUUAAAGUGGUACGCGAGCUGGGUUUAGAACGUCGUGAGACAGUUCGGUCCCUAUCUGCCGUGGGCGCUGGAGAACUGAGGGGGGCUGCUCCUAGUACGAGAGGACCGGAGUGGACGCAUCACUGGUGUUCGGGUUGUCAUGCCAAUGGCACUGCCCGGUAGCUAAAUGCGGAAGAGAUAAGUGCUGAAAGCAUCUAAGCACGAAACUUGCCCCGAGAUGAGUUCUCCCUGACCCUUUAAGGGUCCUGAAGGAACGUUGAAGACGACGACGUUGAUAGGCCGGGUGUGUAAGCGCAGCGAUGCGUUGAGCUAACCGGUACUAAUGAACCGUGAGG
rnacentral:rRNA from 1 species